GUGCUCACUUCGGCAGCACAUAUACUAAAAUGGGAAUCAUACCGAGAAGAUUAGCAUGGCCCUGGCACAAGGCUGACACACAAAUGCGUAAAGCGUUCCAUAGUUUU
rnacentral:snRNA from 1 species